CCUACGGGAGACAGCAGUAGGGAAUAUUGCUCAAUGGGGGAAACCCUGAAGCAGCAACGCCGCGUGGAGGAUGAAGGUUUUCGGAUUGUAAACUCCUUUUGUUAGAGAAGAUAAUGACGGUAUCUAACGAAUAAGCACUGGCUAACUCCGUGCCAGCAGCCGCGGUAAUACGGAGGGUGCGAGCGUUACUCGGAAUCACUGGGCGUAAAGAGCGCGUAGGCGGGAUAGCAAGUCAGAUGUGAAAUCCUAUGGCUCAACCAUAGAACUGCAUUUGAAACUGUUAUUCUAGAGUAUAGGAGAGGUAGGUGGAAUUCUUGGUGUAGGGGUAAAAUGCGUAGAUAUCAAGAGGAAUACUCAUUGCGAAGGCGACCUGCUAGAACGUAACUGACGCUGAUGCGCGAAAGCGUGGGGAGCAAACAGGAUUAGAUACCCUAGUAGUC
rnacentral:rRNA from 1 species